GGGAGUGUGCCCGAGCGGACAAAGGGAUCAGACUGUAAAUCUGACGGCGUACGCCUUCGCUGGUUCGAAUCCAGCCGCUCCCA
rnacentral:tRNA from 1 species